UUAAAACAAUAUUUCUUCUGUUUUUUUAUUUUUUAUUUUAUUUUAACAAUUCUUUUGUUCUUGAAGGGUUCUUGGAAAGACCAGGUUAUACACAACUGCAGAUUGAUCAUGAGGACCAUGCUGCCGAGUUUCUGAAUUUAUACACAAUUGCAGAUUCUGCCCACAAAAGGCUCCAUCCAAAGAGUUGAUAACACAAGC